AAUGGAGCAGCGAGCUGACCGCGCGCACACAAAGGCAUCCCUUGCUUCCUCUCUUGUUUCUGACCGCAAAUCCCCGCGCUCAGCGUGGCCAAGGAUGACGGAACGAAAGCAAAAAGCAAUCCUUGGCGAAAAGCGAGUCGGAGGGGCACUUGCACACGUGCUCUAUGACACCCCUCCAGUGACAUUCCACUUGGCCUUUUCCUUCUCAGAAUCUCCAUCAAAAGUUCAGAGAUCUGCCUGGGUUUCGCCGUUGAUUUCCAUCAUGGAAUUUCAUGUCCUUUUGAGCAUUUGAGUUAUCAGUGGAAUUCUUCACUUCAUGCACUUAAGUUAUUCUCUUUCUGCAGCACUCUGAUAUGGAUUUCCUUCAUGCCCCAUCACAUUCAGCCUUGAAGCACCCACCCAACCUAUAAGAAUCCCAAACAAAGUUGACAAGGAGAACAAGACCACCGCUGGCAGAUCCUCAUCCAUAGCAGAUUUGUGUGAUCACAAAAUGAUUUAAGACUUGAGAAUCCACAAAAAAUCCUCUGUACGUGGCCAUCUGCUGUGGUGAUGUAUUCCUUUGUCCAUGGUGCCACACACUGGGGACCAAGGAGGGGACAGUCCUUGCAGGGACAAUCCUCGUGCAGAGAUGAUGCUUCAAGGA